rnacentral:rRNA from 1 species
UACGUAGGGGGCGAGCGUUGUCCGGAUUUACUGGGCGUAAAGCGCGUGUAGGCAGCUGCUUAAGUCGGGUGUGAAAGCCCGGGGCUCAACCCCGGGAUGCCGCCCGAGACUGGGCGGCUUGAGGUCGGAAGAGGGGAGUGGAAUUCCAGGUGUAGCGGUGAAAUGCGUAGAGAUCUGGAGGAACACCCGUGGCGAAGGCGGCUCCCUGGUCCGAUUCUGACGCUGAGACGCGAAAGCGCGGGGAGCGAACGGG